rnacentral:rRNA from 1 species
UUGAGUUUGAUCCUGGCUCAGAAGGAACGCUAGCUAUAUGCUUAACACAUGCAAGUCGAACGUUGUUUUUGGGGAGCUGGGCAGAAGGAAAAGAGGCUCCUAGCGUGAAGGUAGCUUGUCUCGCCCAGGUCUUUCUGGUAUGAAAAGACCAGGGAAUACCAGGAGGUGGGAACAGUUGAAAACAAAGUGGCGAACGGGUGCGUAAUGCGUGGGAAUCUGCCGAACAGUUCGGGCCAAAUCCUGAAGAAAGCUAAAAAGCGCUGUUUGAUGAGCCUGCGUAGUAUUAGGUAGUUGGUCAGGUAAAGGCUGACCAAGCCAA